AAGGCUAAAUAAGAGAUGCUGUCAAAUUAGGAGCUCAUUUGUGAUUUCAAUCGUUUUAACAAAUGUUACUCUUCUAUGAAUAUAAAACGAAUGUUGGAAUUAUGACAGGAGAUCAUCUGUAAACAAAGUAGUUGCAGAAGACAGUUCCCGCGUGUAUCUCACGUGCACUCAACAUCUGGCAGACGACACUAACAUCCAACGUUUCCUGACGAUAGCCAUUGUGACAGGAUAAUUCCGGCCAAAGAUGGAAUAAUAUUCCGCCUGGGACUCUGGCCAGCGCACAAAGUGUGGAAAAAAAGUUGAGAGAAGAAGGAGGUUUAAGUUGUAAAAGCACAAACAAUGUACAACGAUUCCAGCUUGACAACGAUUUCUUUCACAAGCACCGGGAACAUGUAUUGUCUAAACGGGCAUGAUACGCAGAGUCUGAGCAUGGCACAUGUAAACAGCCGGGAACCAGUUUUACAGAACGGAAGUGGCAGGGGAAGACGCGCUGCAAACCAAGAAAACACUGGAUUAAGUCGUGAAGAAAGGCGGCGCAGACGACGGGCAACGCAGAAAUAUCGUUCAGCCCA